rnacentral:lncRNA from 1 species
AUUUAGGAUUUUUUUUGUUUGUUUAAAACACAAAACUACAGCUUUUUAAGAACAUUUAAAAAUAUUUUCUAACUGCUUGCGUGGUUAGCUGUCAUAACUUCUCCAAAUCAGCUGUUCGGAUAUGAUGUUUCAUUAUUUUAUGAUGGGUUGCGCCACACCUAAUUAGGAAUGGGCAAAAUACCCAUGGAUUUGAGUAUGUUUUAUUAUUUUAUGAUGGGUUG